rnacentral:pre_miRNA from 2 species
UCUGGGUGCAGCAAGAGAACCGUUACCAUUACUAAACUCAGUAAUGGUAACGGUUUCCUCGCCACCCCAA